rnacentral:rRNA from 1 species
GAUGAACGCUAGCGACAGGCUUAACACAUGCAAGUCGAGGGGCAGCGGGGAGUGAGGCUUGCCUUACUCUGCCGGCGACCGGCGCACGGGUGAGUAACACGUAUGCAACCUACCCUUUACGGCGGGAUAACCGGAAGAAAUUUCGCCUAAUACCGCAUAUACUCCUUGGGAGGCAUCUUCCGAGGGGGAAAGAAUUUCGGUGAAGGAUGGGCAUGCGUCGCAUUAGUUAGUUGGCGGUGUAACGGACCACCAAGACGACGAUGCGUAGGGGUUCUGAGAGGAAGGUCCCCCACACUGGUACUGAGACACGGACCAG